UUGGACAAUGAACGAAAGUUUGAUCCAGCAAUACUAUCUGAGUGAAGACGGCUUUUUUGGUUGUAAAGCUCUUUCAUUAGGUAAUGAUAAUGACACUACUUAAAAAAGUUUAAGUCCCGGCUAAUACUCGUGCCAGCAGCCGCGGUAAUACGGGAGGGGCAAGCGUUAUCCAUCAUAACUUGGCGUAAAGGGUUCGUAGACAGUAAAAUAAGUUAGUUGUUAAAGUUUCAAGCCUAACUUGAAAUGGGCAUAUAAUACUGUUUUACUUGAGUUUUAUACGGGAAAGUAGAAUUUUAUACGUAAGGGUAAAAUCUUAAAAUAUAUAAAGGAAUCUCAGUAGCGAAGGCGAUUUUUUAGUAAGAACUGACGUUGAGGGACGAAAGUGUGGGUAGCAAACAGGAUUAGAUACCCUGGUAGUCCAUACUGUAAAUUCUGAGUGCUAAGGUUUAAUAGUUAUUUUAGAUCUUCAUAAGCUAACGCUAUAAGCACUCCGCCUGGGAAGUACGAUUGCAAGAUUGGAACUCAAAGGAAUUGACGGGGGCUGAAUACUAGUGGCGGAGUAUGUGGCUUAAUGCGAUAAUCCGCGCAAAACCUUACCAAUCUUUGACAUAAAAAAGAGUUUAAGGUUACAAAUUUAGGUAAAUUACUUUAAAUUAAAAUUUUUUACAGGUGUUGCACGACUGUCGUAAGUUCGUGUUGUGAAAUGUUUGAUUAAUUUCUUUUAACGGGCGUAACUCUUGUCUUUAACUUUUGGAUUUUUUAUAAAAUUUCAUAAAUAAAAAAUAUUUUAAAGAUACGGUCAAUAUGAUAAGUUGAAGGAAGGUGAGAACUAAGUCAAGUCAAUGUGACCCUUAUAGAUUGGGCUACACACGUGCUACAAUGAAAAUUACAAAAAGUUACAAAAAAUUAAAUUUUUAGUUAAUCUGUAAAAGUUUUCCCAGUUCGGAUUGUAUGCUGAAACUCGUAUACAUAAAGUUGGAAUCACUAGUAAUCGCAAAUCAGAACGUUGCGGUGAAUAUGUCGAUUGGCCUUGUACAGACCGCCCGUCACAUGCGGAAAAUCAGUUUUGCUUGAAGGUUUUACUAAGUAAAACUAAUUGAGAAAUUGGUAAUUUGGAUGAAGUCGUAACAAGGUAACCGU
rnacentral:rRNA from 1 species